GAUGAACGCUGGCGGCGUGCCUAAUACAUGCAAGUCGAGCGAACGGACGAGAAGCUUGCUUCUCUGAUGUUAGCGGCGGACGGGUGAGUAACACGUGGAUAACCUACCUAUAAGACUGGGAUAACUUCGGGAAACCGGAGCUAAUACCGGAUAAUAUUUUGAACCGCAUGGUUCAAAAGUGAAAGACGGUCUUGCUGUCACUUAUAGAUGGAUCCGCGCUGCAUUAGCUAGUUGGUAAGGUAACGGCUUACCAAGGCAACGAUGCAUAGCCGACCUGAGAGGGUGAUCGGCCACACUGGAACUGAGACACGGUCCAGACUCCUACGGGAGGCAGCAGUAGGGAAUCUUCCGCAAUGGGCGAAAGCCUGACGGAGCAACGCCGCGUGAGUGAUGAAGGUCUUCGGAUCGUAAAACUCUGUUAUUAGGGAAGAACAUAUGUGUAAGUAACUGUGCACAUCUUGACGGUACCUAAUCAGAAAGCCACGGCUAACUACGUGCCAGCAGCCGCGGUAAUACGUAGGUGGCAAGCGUUAUCCGGAAUUAUUGGGCGUAAAGCGCGCGUAGGCGGUUUUUUAAGUCUGAUGUGAAAGCCCACGGCUCAACCGUGGAGGGUCAUUGGAAACUGGAAAACUUGAGUGCAGAAGAGGAAAGUGGAAUUCCAUGUGUAGCGGUGAAAUGCGCAGAGGUAUGGAGGAACACCAGUGGCGAAGGCGACUUUCUGGUCUGUAACUGACGCUGAUGUGCGAAAGCGUGGGGAUCAAACAGGAUUAGAUACCCUGGUAGUCCACGCCGUAAACGAUGAGUGCUAAGUGUUAGGGGGUUUCCGCCCCUUAGUGCUGCAGCUAACGCAUUAAGCACUCCGCCUGGGGAGUACGACCGCAAGGUUGAAACUCAAAGGAAUUGACGGGGACCCGCACAAGCGGUGGAGCAUGUGGUUUAAUUCGAAGCAACGCGAAGAACCUUACCAAAUCUUGACAUCCUUUGACAACUCUAGAGAUAGAGCUUUCCCCUUCGGGGGACAAAGUGACAGGUGGUGCAUGGUUGUCGUCAGCUCGUGUCGUGAGAUGUUGGGUUAAGUCCCGCAACGAGCGCAACCCUUAAGCUUAGUUGCCAUCAUUAAGUUGGGCACUCUAAGUUGACUGCCGGUGACAAACCGGAGGAAGGUGGGGAUGACGUCAAAUCAUCAUGCCCCUUAUGAUUUGGGCUACACACGUGCUACAAUGGACAAUACAAAGGGCAGCGAAACCGUGAGGUCAAGCAAAUCCCAUAAAGUUGUUCUCAGUUCGGAUUGUAGUCUGCAACUCGACUACAUGAAGCUGGAAUCGCUAGUAAUCGUAGAUCAGCAUGCUACGGUGAAUACGUUCCCGGGUCU
rnacentral:rRNA from 1 species